rnacentral:rRNA from 1 species
GACGAACGCUGGCGGCGUGCUUAACACAUGCAAGUCGAACGGAAAGGCCCUUCGGGGUACUCGAGUGGCGAACGGGUGAGUAACACGUGGGUGAUCUGCCCUGCACUUUGGGAUAAGCCUGGGAAACUGGGUCUAAUACCGGAUAGGACUACGGCCUGCAUGGGUUGUGGUGGAAAGCUUUUGCGGUGUGGGAUGGGCCCGCGGCCUAUCAGCUUGUUGGUGAGGUUAUGGCUUACCAAGGCGACGACGGGUAGCCGGCCUGAGAGGGUGACCGGCCACACUGGGACUGAGAUACGGCCCAGACUCCUACGGGAGGCAGCAGUGGGGAAUAUUGCACAAUGGGCGCAAGCCUGAUGCAGCGACGCCGCGUGAGGGAUGACGGCCUUCGGGUUGUAAACCUCUUUCAGCAGGGACGAAGCGCAAGUGACGGUACCUGUAGAAGAAGGACCGGCCAACUACGUGCCAGCCGCCGCCGUAUAC